CACGUAGGCGGAUAUUUAAGUCAGGGGUGAAAUCCCAGAGCUCAACUCUGGAACUGCCUUUGAUACUGGGUAUCUUGAGUAUGGAAGAGGUAAGUGGAAUUCCGAGUGUAGAGGUGAAAUUCGUAGAUAUUCGGAGGAACACCAGUGGCGAAGGCGGCUUACUGGUCCAUUACUGACGCGGAGGUGCGAAAGCGUGGGGAGCAAACA
rnacentral:rRNA from 1 species